rnacentral:rRNA from 1 species
UACGUAGGCAGCAAGCGUUGUUCGGAGUUACUGGGCGUAAAGAGUGCGUAGGUGGUGCCCUAAGUCUGUUGUGAAAUCUCCCGGCUUAACUGGGAGGGUGCGGUGGAAACUGGGGUGCUUGAGUGUGGGAGAGGUAAGCGGAAUUCCUGGUGUAGCGGUGAAAUGCGUAGAUAUCAGGAGGAACACCGGUGGUGUAGACGGCUUUCUGGACCGUAACUGACGCUGAGACACGAAAGCGUGGGUAGCAAACAGG